UACGAAGGGGGCUAGCGUUGCUCGGAAUCACUGGGCGUAAAGCGCACGUAGGCGGGUCUUUAAGUCGAGGGUGAAAUCCUGGAGCUCAACUCCAGAACUGCCUUUGAUACUGAGGAUCUCGAGUCCGGGAGAGGUGAGUGGAACUCCGAGUGUAGAGGUGAAAUUCGUAGAUAUUCGCAAGAACACCAGUGGCGAAGGCGGCUCACUGGCCCGGUACUGACGCUGAGGUGCGAAAGCGUGGGGGAGCAAACAGGG
rnacentral:rRNA from 1 species